CCUGCCGCUAGGGAGAGCUGUGGAGCCGAGGCAAACGCGCUUAGCAGCCGAGCCAGCCAAGGCUGAUUGUGCGCCUAGAUUUGAGCGCAACUGGUGGCGGGGUCCUCCUCCUUAUCAUCAUCCGGGCGGGGCCCUCUUCCCUCCCGCACUUGCGAGCACGGCGGUGGCUCCUGCACAGUGCCAAGGCCGGCCAGGUGAAGUUGGGGAGCGGCGAGGAGGGGCGUUGUUCCUGCUUUCCAGUAUGCAGGCGGCUCCACAGUUGCCUCGGCGGCCGCAGGCAAACGACAGGCAGCGGCAGCCCCAGAAGCGCGUGUGAGCCACCGGAGAGCUCCUCUCCACUCACAAGGAUGCUGGGGGGCGAUGCCUGGCGGCAGGGAGGACGAGAUUUGCCAGAAAGCGCUGAAGCUGCUGGUCGAACUCUGCUCCGACGGGACGGUGGAGAACGACAGAUGCCUGGAGUUCAACUACUACCUGCGGGACAGCGGCAGACCCCGGCCCACCGACUCCGAUAUCACAGUGAGUUUACUGUCCUUAGUUGUCACAGCGUGUGGACUUGCUUUGUUUGGGGUAUCUCUGUUUGUAUCCUGGAAGCUUUGUUGGGUUCCUUGGCGAGAACGUGGCCUGCCUGGAAACAAGGAAAAGCAGGAAUCACUGAACUAUACAGAUACAGACACCAAUGACCAUGAGUAUAGCGAGGAUUACCUGGGACAGCCUACUACCUACCCUGACUCUUCCAUGAAGAUUAGCCACACAUCCCCUGACAUUCCAUUGGAUGCUAAGACAGGGACCAAGGAGAACUGUGUGCACAAUGUUCGGAUGCAUCGACAGAUCACAGAGCCAACUCCUUCUGCUCGGCAUAAUUCAAUCCGAAGGCAACUCAAUCUCUCAAACCCAGACUUCAACAUCCAGCAGAUCCAAAAGCAGGAGCAGCUGACAGGGAUUGGGCGCAUCAAGCCAGAGCUGUAUAAACAAAGAUCGGUGGACACAGAUGAUGGGCGGAGGAAUAAUAGCAAAUCUUGUGGGAAACUCAACUUUAUUGUGAAAUACGACUGUGACUUAGAACAACUGAUAGUGAAGAUUCACAAAGCUGUUAACCUGCCAGCCAAGGACUUCUCUGGGACUUCAGACCCUUAUGUCAAAAUCUACUUACUUCCAGAUAGAAAAACGAAACACCAGACUAAAGUACAUAGAAAGACCCUAAACCCAGUGUUUGAUGAAGUUUUUUUAUUUCCUGUUCCUUACAAUGAUUUGAGCACAAGGAAACUCCACUUCUCUGUAUAUGACUUUGACCGAUUCUCCAGGCAUGACUUGAUUGGCCAAGUGAUAGUGGAUAACUUUUUAGAUUUGUCGGACUUUCCUAGGGAAUGUAAUAUUUGGAAGGACAUUGAAUAUGUCACCAAUGACAAAGUGGAUCUUGGCGAGUUGAUGUUUUCGCUUUGCUAUCUUCCAACCGCUGGUAGACUAACUAUCACUAUAAUAAAAGCUAGAAAUUUAAAGGCAAUGGACAUAACAGGAGCAUCAGAUCCCUAUGUGAAGGUUUCACUUAUGUGUGAAGGGAGACGAUUGAAGAAGAGGAAGACUUCCACUAAGAGGAACACCCUCAAUCCUGUUUACAAUGAAGCCAUAGUCUUUGAUGUCCCUCCAGAAAACAUUGACCAAAUUAACUUGUCUAUAGCUGUUAUGGAUUAUGAUCGUGUAGGUCACAAUGAGGUCAUUGGAGUCUGUCAAGUAGGCAACGAUGCAGAAAGCCUUGGGCGAGACCACUGGAAUGAAAUGCUGUCAUACCCUCGGAAACCCAUCGCUCACUGGCAUCUGCUUACAGAGGGCCCUAUUCCACAGAAAUGUUAUGCAGGCCUUCUGCGCAUGGAUGGCUGCCGAAGAGGCUUCCUCACUCUUUUAACCUAUUCAGCAGAAAUUUGGCAUUCCUGUUGAACCCUUUCUUAGCCAUUUUCUCAGGGGCCAUUCCGCAGAGAGUCCAAAGGGCACUGUUCCUAAAGGGUUUGAAAAAUCUGAGCCCCCAGGUCAUCUCCCUUUGGGAAAGGCCGAAUAAACUGUAAUCCAAUUAGCAAAUCUUGGAGAGAGACUUCCAACACAGCAGCAACACCUCAUCUGAAGGAAAAAAACCCAAACCACUAAAGCACUUUUUACCUGGUAUGCAAAGAUUAUUAUAAACCAAAAUGUGAAGUGACUAUCAGCCCCUUAAUGGAAAAUAUUUAGACCUAUACAUCUUUGUUACCUUUUUUAAGGGUGAGGAGUUGUGUGUUUUUGUCAAUCAGACUCUGAAAAGCCAGUGUGGAGAAUGUCUGCUAUCAAUAACGUGCAUCACUAAGUAACAAAGUGAAAAGCAAAAAUAAAUUUGAA